UUUUAAAAAAAAUAUUUAAAAAAUGAUUUAUACAAAAUAAUAAAAAAAUUUAUUUUAUCAAUAUAUUAUAUACUAGUWUUGAAUACUAAAUGUUUCGAUAUGUAGUAAUUAGAUUUAAUUAUCAAUUUAUUUUGGAAUUAGUAAUUGAUUAAGUUUUGGCUUAUUUUGUGCCAGCAGUCGCGGUUAUACAAUUAAUGCAAAUAAACAUUUUUAGAUUAGCAGUAAAUUAAUUUAUUGAAUAUUAUUUAGGAUUUUGUAGGUGAAAUUUUAAUUUUUAUUAUAUGUUCUUAAAUUUGAUUCUGUGAAAGUUGAGUUUUAAACUAGGAUUAGAUACCCUAUUAUUUUAACUGUGAAAAAUUAAAUAUCUGGGUAGUAUUAGUUAAGGUCUUUAAACCCAAAGAAUUUGGCGGCAUUCUAUUCUAUUUAGAGGAACCUACCCUGUAAUUGAUAGUACACGAUUAGUAUUACUUAAUUAAUUGCUUGUAUAUCUCCGUUAUCAGAAAAUCUUUUUAGAGUUAUUAAUUUUCUAGAAUUUUUAUAAGAAUUUAUUUCAGGUCAAGGUGCAGCAUUAAUUAAGUUAGAGGCGGGUUACAAUAAAUUUAUUUAUUACAGUUUAAUCAAUGUAAAUUGGUUAUUAAGGUGGAUUUAAUAGUAAUUAAAUUAAUUUAAUUUUUUUGAUAUUAGCUCUGGAAUGUGUACACAUCGCCCGUCGCUCUCAUUAUUAUAUUGAGAAUGUUUUUUUUAAAUGAGAUAAGUCGUAACAUAGUAGGUGUACUGGAAAGUGUACCUAGUUAGUUUUA
rnacentral:ncRNA from 1 species